AAGUCAUGAAAUUGUAAUAAGUACUAUUUGGAUGAAUUAAACCUUUAAAAUCUUAAGAAAGAUAUGAAGUAGUACUUUGUGUGAAAUACUCGUUGUGGUCCUGAAAUUGCAGCCUCUGGCUCUGUAGAUGGAUAGAUUAAAACUUUAUUGAUCCCGCAGCAGGGAAAUUUCUGAUGUUACAGCAGUGAAUACAAGAAAUAGUGCAAGAAAAGAAAAAGAGCAGCACACAGUGCACACAGUGCACAGAUAUAGUCAUUUUCUCCUUCAAGAAGAAAUAUAAUUACACAGUGUUCUUAUAUACAUUUUUAUUGCACAGUUAAUGGGUGAGCUGAACUACUCUGUACAGGCUUGAUUGUACCGUCUGACUGCAGCAGGAAGGAAGGACCUGCGGUACCUCUUCUUCAAAUGCCACAAGUGAAGCAGUCCAUCACUGAAGGAGCUGCCCAGUGAUGUUACUGUUUCCUCCAGGGGGUGGGAGGUUUCCUCCAUUGAUAGACAACAGCUUUGUCGUCAUCCUCCUGUCUCCCACCACCUCCACAGGAUCAAGGGGGCAGCCCAGGACAGUGCUGGCUUUCUUUACCAGUUUGUUUAGUCUCUUCCUGUCUGCAGCCGUGAUGCUGCUGUCCAGCAGACCACUCCAUACAGGAUGGCUGAUGCCACCACAGAAUCAUAAAAGGUCCUCAGAAGUGCUUCCUCACUGUUAACCCGAAAGUUCUUUCUACUCAACAGUUUCAGUAAAUACCACUGAAAAAAAUGAGUUUUGUUGCAUUACUUAAACCGUUUGAGUAUAUGGAGAGUGUUUGAGACAGCCUGUGGGUAUACUCGUUUUUUAAAGUUUAACAAACUUAAAACGGGCCACAAUUUGUUGCAGUGUUCUGAUUGGCUCACAAGUCAAAACAAGUCUGGGCUUGUCCGUUGGAGGAUACAGAGAAGUUUGCGCCUUUUUCUCAUUUUCACAGAGCAAUGUAAGGCCUUUGCACUUUUCAUGCUUCUUGGAAAAUACGUUUUCUGCCUGCAUUUUUUCAAUUUUUUACAAGUUUGGACCCUUUCAAAGGACAUUUGUCUCCAGUAAAGCGGAUGCCAUUUUCUGUCUGAACGAGGUUUACUUGGAGUUUAACAGGGUUGAAAUCUUCAAGAAAAAUUCUUUCUACUUUCAUGGAACUCUUCAAGAGGAAGAUGGGUCAGAGAGGCAAGCAAUUAGCUGACCUGCUACAACAGACAACGAGCACUGAGCCAACAGCCAUUAGAAGCCUUGUCCUGAGAGGACUUCCAGUCAUUCUUAGGGACGAUGCAUCCGUGUUCUUUCAGAGCAAUUUGAAUCUUAAUGAGAGAGACUCCGGGGACAUUCCAGUGGCAUUACUCUGCUAUGAGGACAACAGCGCUGCAAGCCCAGCAUCACCACAACUAAACCCUUCAUGAGUGGGAAUCAUCCUAGAGGGCAGCCCUGUAAUGGACACACUCACCAACCUACCUCAACCAAUGUGCCUCUUGUUUGGCUUUACCUCCACACUCCACCUGCACUACCUGAGGAGGAUGAACACCUUUACCUUCAUUCAGCAGGUCAUAAUAAAUUCAGGCCGAAGAGAGCUACCUCCAAAACUCAAAAGCUGAAGAAUGAGCUUGCAGUGCAAGGCACAACUCUUCAAGCCCAUUUCUGGAUUAUUGCACAGUUAUAUUGCACUGAAACAAAUAUUCAUGCUGUUGCUCAUUUUGUAUGUGAUUCCUCUUGUACAAGAUGCAUCUAGUAUUGUUUAUAUUACUAAAAUUAUUCCACAGAGGACAUAUUUUAGAAAGUUGCAGUUUUUUUUAACCCAUUCUUGUCCUCACUGCAUGUUCUUAUUGCUGCUGUUCUUAAUGCCUGUUUUGUUAUGUCGCACACAAAGCAUACACAGCAUACUUGUGUACUUGCAGUACAGUAUGCUGCAACAUGAUCAGUGUUUUUUUCUUCCAAACAGACAAACAGAGCAAACAACUAAAAAACUGUGCUAUUUGAAAGGAAACUGUUUAAUAACAUGUUUUUGUGUGUUUUGUUUGUUUGUUUGUUUUUUUUGCGGUAACAUAGAAGGGUAUUGUAAUACAUUAAUAGCAAAAAAUUAAGAAUAUACUGUUGAAACUAUUGACAAAAAUUAAUUUUGGUAAUUUUAUGAAACAAGGUCUUGCUGUUGUUUUGUAUUUGCAUCUGGUAUUUCACACAGAGCAUUAAUGUUGAGAAAUAUUUGUUGUUUUGUUAUGUUUCAAUUAGUGGU